rnacentral:lncRNA from 1 species
CCUCCUGAGUGCUGGUAUUAAAGGCAUGCGCCACCACGCCCGGCAAACCACAGGACUCUUGAUGAGUGUCCCUAUGUCUUAGUUUGCUUAGCUUUCCUGUUGCUAUGAGAAGAUACACUGGAAAAGCCACUAAAAGGAGAACAGUGUAUUUUGGCUCCAUAGUUUAGAUGUUCCAUACAUCUUGGCAGGGACCUCAAAGCAGCAGGAGCGUGAAGCGGCCACUCACAUCACAGCCAGAGUCAGGAACCUAAGGAUGCAUGUUGCGGGCCGGCCAGCAGCUGGCAACGAACGGUUCAACUGAGAUGGCAGCUCGGGCUGAAAGAGAGGAACUAGACGGACGGAAGAAAGAACGGAGCCAAGUCAAAGCCAACUCUGAUCAAAGCUCAAUUUUACUAUAUCAGCACGCAGUUAUGAAGGAGGGGAAGGGGGGGUUGAUUUCCACCAAAUAGUCCUGGGGACCAGGAGCAGGAAGACCACGUGUAUGGCUCCGAACAGCAAAGCGGCAGGUUCCAGCAGUGGGCGUGGCAGAACGAUUGAACGGCAAGCUCUAUCCAGGUGUAAACAGUGGAACCAUUGAGGCUGGGGGAGGGGAGGCUACAGAUGCACCAUUGUGCUCAGCUGGCCUUCUCCAUUUUAGACAUCCCAGCAUCCUCUGCCCAGGGAACGGGCUUCCCACAUCAAUAAACUAAAGAUAAUCCUCCUUGGGCACCCCUAGGGGCCCAUCUCCAAGGGCAUGCCCAGAGGCCCAAUACUCCCUGGUGAUUCUCUCAAGCUACUAACACUUCCACACAUCCAAUAAUAGAGUCAGCCCAGAAGGUUUGUUCCCCUGAGGACCUGAGAGGACCUCAAUGUUCAAGCAUGGGGUUGCCUCUGAACAUAUGCAAGGGGGAAAUGGAGCCUGCCAUGUGAGGAGACCAAGCAGAAGAAUGGACAAUGAGGAGAGACUCCACGGUACAAUGCCAGAGCCUUUGAAUCCACAGGCCAUUACAUCCCUGUAUCUCCCAAGUGUACCAGGCUCAUCUUAUAGAGACUCAGGCCUCUGAGAGGGUACAAAUGAAGUAAGUCUUUAGGUUUUUAUUUUUCUGUAAACUAAGAAAUUUGAAAGCCAAUUAAUAUUGACAUCUUAAUUAUUUUGGUGUCAAUAACUAAUUAAUGACAAAUUAAUUAAUUAGUCAACAAUACCUCUUAAGCCACCAAAGGCUAAUGUGAGGAGGGAGGCAGCUUAAAUGACUUCAGCAAAAAUUUUAAACCCUAGAAAAUAUGAAAAUAUAUGUCUUUUAAUCUAGUGAGACAAAAGUUUUAUGGGCAACUUGAUUUCAAAGUAGUAGAUAUUUGGAAAGGGAGAAUGUGAAUCUGGCCUUUCAGAGUGUUAAGUUCUAACUACAAAGCAUCUACUGGGUGGCAGGCACUAUGUGAAGGCCAGAGAACAAGAUGAGCACUUCAGGUCAAGGUAGUUAGACAGCAGGCAUUAGAAACAGAUCAGGGUCCCCUCCAGCAAAUGGUGACCACUCUGUAUGUCUGUGCAGGGUAGCAAGUGGGUGGGAUGAGCAUGGGUGAGGAUGUAUCAAACUCUAAAUACACCGCACUAAAGAUACUGCAUCUGCACUGAAGAUACAGUCUGCACUGAAGAUACAGAAUCUGCACUGAAGAUACAGUCUGCACUGAAGAUAGAUACAGAGUUUGCACUGAAGAUACAGUCUGCACUGAAGAUAGAUACAGAGUCUGCACUGAAGAUACAGAAUCUGCACUGAAGAUAGAUACAGAGUCUGCACUGAAGAUACAGAAUCUGCCCUGAAGAUACAGAAACUGCACUGAAGAUACAGUCUGCACUGAAGAUACAGAAUCUGCACUGAAGAUAGAUACAGUGUAUUGAAGAUACAGAAUCUGCACUGAAGAUACAGAAUC